rnacentral:misc_RNA from 1 species
GUGAAGAGGGGGUGUUGCUUACUAUGAGCACUUUGACAGAGGAAGGCGUUAUUGCUGUUAAGAAUGCUGCCUGCCAGAGAUUAUUAAAUCAGAGGGUAGAAUUGAAGAUUAAAUCCAAAAGGAUGGAUGAUUGCUUGAAUCGGCUUCAUGUGGCAAUGCCAAAGCCUCGGGACCAGAAGGAAAGACCAACCUGCAUACCUGAGGCAGUGUUGGAAGCUAGGGCAAAACAAGCUGCAGAGAAGCAAAUUAGGAAAACUGAGAAGGAUUUGGAAGAAGAGAAUGGCGGUGCCG